UACAGAGGGUGCGAGCGUUAAUCGGAAUUAUUGGGCGUAAAGAGCUCGUAGGCGGCUUGUUGCGUCGACUGUGAAAACCCGCGGCUUAACCGCGGGCUUGCAGUUGAUACGGGCAGGCUAGAGUUCGGUAGGGGAGACUGGAAUUCCUGGUGUAGCGGUGAAAUGCGCAGAUAUCAGGAGGAACACCGGUGGCGAAGGCGGGUCUCUGGGCCGAUACUGACGCUGAGACGCGAAAGCGUGGGGAGCAAACAGG
rnacentral:rRNA from 1 species